rnacentral:tRNA from 1 species
GUGGUUGUAGCUCAGCUGGUCAGAGCGCCAGGUUGUGGCCCUGGAGGUCGUGGGUUCGAACCCCAUCAAUCACC